UCAUCUCUUUCAUCGCACGUAGGCUCAACAUCCAAGUCAGCGUAACGAGGCCCAAACUAUUCUGGUUGGAUGAAUCAACUUGAGAUGUUAAAAUAUUCCAUCGGCAUUCCUGGUAUAGUGAUAGAAUAAUAUUAGGCACAUCAAGCCUAACUAGGCUUGCUUAUAUCUUUAUAGAUCGGUGUAUGACAAAGAUAUAUAUGGUCCAAUAGCUCCCUCAAGCUUCGUGUAGUUCCUCCCCUUCAGCUUGGACCAAAGAGGACUUAGCAGAAGAUAAAGCCUUGGUUUGGUAAAGACAUCUGCCAAUUGGUACAUGCUGGAAACAUAGCAUACCCGAACUUCACCACGCGACACUCUCACCGGGUAAAUCCGGAGAAGGGGAACUUCAACUAAGAAAGAAUAAGAAUAAGCAGAAUUGCUUAAGUAAGGUAGUCGCUUCUUUUUUUCGGUAUACU
rnacentral:lncRNA from 1 species